rnacentral:lncRNA from 1 species
CUGCAGUCCCAGCUACUCAGGAGGCUGAGGUGGGAGGAUCGCUUGAACUCAGGAGUUGAAGGCUGCAGUGGGUGAGGAUCACAACACUGAAUUCCAGCUGAGGUGACAGAAUGAGACCCUGUCUCUCUAAAAAACAAGCAAGCAAACAAACCAAAAACCACAAACAAACCAGACCCCUCUUAGCAGAAUACUUCCAUGAGGUAAUAAAAGAAAGAAGAAAGUGAAACGAACAAACAAUUUUACUCAAGAAACUAGUGAGAAAUCAAAGAAAUGUCCAAGAAGUAGGAUACAAGAAUUAAUCAAAACAGAUUAACAGUGGAAUAAAUAAAUGAAUCCAACUGGUUCUUUGUAAUGGAAUGUGGAAAGACAUACUCUAUUCUUCUGGAUAGGAAGAUGAAAUAUCAUAAUCAUAUCAAUGCAAGUUUUAUGCAUGCUCAAACAUGUAUAAACUA